ACUGCCAUAUCACGUUGAAAUAUCAGUUCCCGUACGAUCACCAAAGUUAAGCAACGUCAAGCCUGAUAAGUACCAAGAUGGGUGACAGCUUGGGAAUACCAGCUGCUGUAAG